rnacentral:rRNA from 1 species
CCUACGGGUGGCAGCAGUGAGGAAUAUUGGUCAAUGGGGGAAACCCUGAUGCAGCGACGCCGCGUGAAGGAAGAAGUAUUUCGGUAUGUAAACUUCUAUCAGCAGGGAAGAAGCAAGACGGUACCUGACUAAGAAGCCCCGGCUAACUACGUGCCAGCAGCCGCGGUAAUACGUAGGGGGCGAGCGUUAUCCGGAUUCACUGGGUGUAAAGGGAGCGUAGACGGCCAUGCAAGCCAGGUGUGAAAGCCCGGGGCCCAACCCCGGGACUGCCCUUGGAACUGCAUGGCUGGAGUGCGGGAGGGGCAGGCGGAAUUCCUGGUGUAGCGGUGAAAUGCGUAGAUAUUAGGAGGAACACCAGUGGCGAAGGCGGUCUGCUGGACAGCAACUGACGGUGAGGCGCGAAAGCGUGGGGAGCAAACAGGAUUAGAUACCCCUGUAGUC